AGAAUUAUUCGUUAAUCCCCCAUCUUAGAGGCAAUUCCAUUCCAGAAAAAUCUCGAUCGAUCCGCUAUCCCCCCGCCCCAUCUCGGAGAAGCUCCUUGUUUCUCUCUCGCUUUCUUGGCCGCAGGCGUCCUCGACCUCCAAACCCAGCCAUGGCGAUCGUCGUCUCCUCCAUCGCCGUCUCGCUCCGAAACCCUAACCCUAACCCCACCGCCUUCCUGCCACCCAAACCCCUCACCUCUGCCCCGUCUCUACUCCGCCUCCCCCGCCGCCUUCCCCCUCCCAACUCCCUCCAUCUCCGCCUCUCCCCGCACUCCAAAUCCCUCGUCGUCUCAUCCUCCCUCGCCCCUCCCGCGCCGCCGUCCCCCACCCUCCUCUCCGACUCCACCCGCACCCUCUCCUCCCUGCUCGCCCUCGCCCUCUCCGUCUCCAAGCUCGUCCUGUCCCUUCCCGCCCGUAUCGCCGCCGCCGCCGCCCGGGCAGCCCCAUCUACGUCGGAGCUCGCGGAGAUCCGGGACCUCCGGGGGAGCCUCGCCUGCGCUGUGGGGCCUCUCUUCUUCGCCGCCCUCAAGGACCGGCCCAGCGGGUACCUCAACACACCGCUAACCGUGGUCGCCUCGGGCAUGGCCAAGUGGCUCGACAUCUACAGCGGUGUCCUCAUGGUUAGGGUCCUUCUCAGCUGGUUCCCAAACAUCCCCUGGGACCGCCAGCCGUUGUCGGCCAUUAGGGACCUCUGCGACCCUUACCUCAAUCUCUUCAGGAACAUAAUUCCGCCGGUGUUUGAUACCCUCGAUGUGAGCCCACUUCUUGCUUUCGCCGUCUUGGGAACUCUUGGUUCGAUUCUUAACAACAGCCGAGGAAUGUAUUGAAGGAGAGCUGGGCAAAGAAGGAAGAAAAUCAUCCAUAAAUGACACAUCUGAUCCUCCAUCGGAGGUGUGAACCCUAUACAUGCAUCUCUUGGAGCAGUGCAGCAGUACAACCAAGAUCUGUUGCUUGCAAACUUUGAUUUCUCAACAUGUCUGUCAUGUUUCUUCUUAUUUCAGUGAAAAUGGUGAUAAUUGGUGCUAUUGUACUUGCUGGCUGUUCGUUGCUGGUGAUCUAUACAUGCAGUUUCAAAGGGAAUGAAAAAGGAAAAGAAAAGGCGAUGAUCUACAGGUGGAACAAUCCGAUCAUCUUUAUUUGCAUGUGCGCAUUUUUGAACAAGUUUGAUGCUAAAUAGAGACAUAUAGGUUAUAGUAGAAAUAACUCUGUAAUCUUUCUUUGUUUGACCUACUAUAUUUCUAUCUGGUAAUGGUUUUCGACUUUUCCAGCAUUAAUCUGGUACUUCUGAACAUAAGGGAAAGAAGUUUCUUGUUGACAUGCUCUGUAGUCACCGUGUCAAGAAUGUGAGUUAUUUGGUGUUCCAAA